AGUGAACGCUGGCGGUAGGCCUAACACAUGCAAGUCGAACGGCAGCACAGUAAGAGCUUGCUCUUCCGGGUGGCGAGUGGCGGACGGGUGAGGAAUACAUCGGAAUCUACUUUUUCGUGGGGGAUAACGUAGGGAAACUUACGCUAAUACCGCAUACGACCUACGGGUGAAAGCAGGGGAUCUUCGUACCUUGCGCGAUUGAAUGAGCCGAUGUCGGAUUAGCUAGUUGGCGGGGUAAAGGCCCACCAAGGCGACGAUCCGUAGCUGGUCUGAGAGGAUGAGCAGCCACACUGGAACUGAGACACGGUCCAGACUCCUACGGGAGGCAGCAGUGGGGAAUAUGGGACAAUGGGCGCAAGCCUGAUCCAGCCAUACAGCGUGGGUGAAGAAGGCCUUCGGGUUGUAAAGCCCUUUUGUUGGGAAAGAAAAGCAGCAGGUUAAUACCCCGCUGUUCUGACGGUACCCAAAGAAUAAGCACCGGCUAACUUCGUG
rnacentral:rRNA from 1 species